GUGGAUUAGAUACCCGGGUAGUCCUAGCCGUAAACGAUGGAUACUAGGCGUUGAGAGUAUCGACCCUCUCAGUGCCGUAGCUAACGCGUUAAGUAUCCCGCCUGGGGAGUACGCACGCAAGUGUGAAACUCAAAGGAAUUGACGGGGGCCCGCACAAGCGGUGGAGUAUGUGGUUUAAUUCGAUGCAACGCGAAGAACCUUACCAGGGCUUGACAUGUCUGGAAUCUUGGGGAAACUCAAGAGUGCCUUCGGGAGCCAGAACACAGGUGGUGCACGGCUGUCGACAGCU
rnacentral:rRNA from 1 species